ensembl:lncRNA
GCUCAUAUCAAGGUACUGCUUGAGCAAUACAGAAAGUUGCAUCCCGACAUGAAUCUGGUGAAAGACCGCAUGAUGAAAACCUUUGCAUGGAGACGCCGAGAAAUAGCAGAAGGAAUGUCAACUGAAGAUCUGUUGAGGAGAUAUCCAUUCCUAAGAACAUCCGCUGGGUUGUGCGAUGAGGUUGAUGCCAUGCACCCCUCUCCAGUCAACAUAUGCCACCGCAUCAGUGAGAACUUCACAUCUAUUCUCCCAAAUAUGCUGAAACUUGUCAAGGAUUCGCCACUGAAAAAACUAUACAUGGAAGCAAGAGCGGAUGCCUUGGCUGAGGAUAUUAAAGGAAUUGACUUCAGGGGUGGACUCCUCCUCUUGCCAUCCAUAUUCAAGGAGAAGAUUGAGGAUUUCAUUAUGCUUGGACAGAAAAAUCCUCAAACUCCAUAUCCAACCGUUCAACUGAAAGCACAAGGGUUGAAAUUUGCCCUCUCCAGACAGUGCCAGAGUGUGGUCAAUGUCGAGGGAAUUGAGGUCUGUUCUUGCACUUCGGUGGAUGAGGCCUUCAUUGCAGCCUUCUGCAUGUACUUUGUCUUCAACAUGGCAUAUCCUGGAUACUUGAAAAAGACACUGACCUUUCUCCAGAGGCUCAUCGCAAACAUCACGGGGGAUGGAGACAAAUCCCUGCCGGUAACUUUGACAAUGACUGAUUUUACUCAGUCCAGGAAGUGUAUUGGACUAUCAAGCUCUCGACACAUAUUUAGUCGAUGAUAGACUGUAUGUUUCCUUGAGGUAUUCUGUGUAAGUAUGUUCUAUCUAAAUGUGUGUUACUUUUUGAAGUAUUCUGCCUCAUGUUAAUGUGACUGCAAUCUUUACAUAUUGUAAUGUUAUGCAUUGACAUUGAUUGAUUUUAUAUGUAGCUAUAUAGAAUUGAA